rnacentral:rRNA from 1 species
UAUUGGUCAAUGGGCGGGAGCCUGAACCAGCCAAGUCGCGUGAGGGAAGACGGUCCUACGUAUUGUAAACCUCUUUAGCCGGGGAACAAGGCUCGGGACGCGUCCCGCCGUGAGCGUACCCGGAGAAUAAGCAUCGGCUAACUCCGUUCCAGCAGCCGCGGUAAUACGGAGGAUGCGAGCGUUAUCCGGAUUUAUUGGGUUUAAAGGGUGCGUAGGCGGGCUGGUAAGUCAGCGGUCAAAUGUCGGGGCUCAACCCCGGCCUGCCGUUGAAACUGGCGGCCUCGAGUGGGCGAGAAGUAUGCGGAAUGCGUGGUGUAGCGGUGAAAUGCAUAGAUAUCACGCAGAACUCCGAUUGCGAAGGCAGCAUACCGGCGCCCUACUGACGCUGAGGCACGAAAGCGUGGGUAUCGAACAGG